AAGGGAAACCUAAUUCGGGUAGAAGACGAAAAAAUAGUAGUCGAAACCAAGAAUCAAUCCCAAAAGGUCGGAACGAGGUAUGUGGCUUUCAAACUAGGUUCUGGGUUCACAAAAGACCUGAAUCAGGAACAAGGGCUAUUAGCUCAGGUGGUUAGAGCGCACCCCUGAUAAGGGUGAGGUCCCUGGUUCGAGUCCAGGAUGGCCCACCUGCACAGGUGGCAAAAACAAGAGAAACGAGGAAUCAGCACCUUAUCUUACUUACAUAGUAAGAGAGAAUGCUGGCUCUGAGUAAAGAGUCCAGAGGAACCUUGAAAACUGCAUAGAGCUAGGUGAAAAAGCCAAAAAAGAAGACCGCAA
rnacentral:tRNA from 1 species